GAUGAACGCUGGCGGCGUGCCUAAUACAUGCAAGUAGAACGCUGAAGGAGGAGCUUGCUCUUCUGGAUGAGUUGCGAACGGGUGAGUAACGCGUAGGUAACCUGCCUGGUAGCGGGGGAUAACUAUUGGAAACGAUAGCUAAUACCGCAUGACAACAGUUAUUGCAUGAUAACUGUUUAAAAGGGGCAACUGCUCCACUACCAGAUGGACCUGCGUUGUAUUAGCUAGUUGGUGAGGUAACGGCUCACCAAGGCGACGAUACAUAGCCGACCUGAGAGGGUGAUCGGCCACACUGGGACUGAGACACGGCCCGUACUCCUACGGGAGGCAGCAGUAGGGAAUCUUCGGCAAUGGACGGAAGUCUGACCGAGCAACGCCGCGUGAGUGAAGAAGGUUUUCGGAUCGUAAAGCUCUGUUGUAAGAGAAGAACGGGGGGGAGGGGGGAAAGUUCACACUGUGACGGUAUUUUACCAAAAAGGGACGGCUAACUACGU
rnacentral:rRNA from 1 species